rnacentral:lncRNA from 1 species
GAUAGGGUGAGGGUGGGCACUCAGGGGCAGGGCUCAGUGGCGGGGGGCGGGGCUCAGGGCAAGGGUAGAGACGGGGUGAAAGUAGGAAUGGGGGUGUGAGGCCGAGGAUGGGGGUUUCAGGGGAGGUGGCCUUUAGGGCAGGAUAGGGGUGAGAAUGGGGUGGGGAUGGGCCUGCCACCGCGCCCGGCCUUUUUUUUGUAUUUUUAGUAGAGACAGGGUUUCACCAUGUUGGUCAGGCUGGUCUCCAACUCCUGACCUCGUGAUCUGCCUCCCAAAGUGCUGGGAUUACAGGCGUGAGCCACUGCGCUUGGCCCUGUCUACGAGUCUUUUUUUAGAUUUCCAUUCUUCCUAACACAUUUAAAAAGUUCCUCUUCACCCCAAAAUGGUAUAAGCAUGCACCUUUAUUUUCUUUGGAUA